rnacentral:misc_RNA from 1 species
UCGAGUUUUGAACGGGUUGUUGCUGGCCUCAUACGGGGCAUGUGCACGCCUGACUUCAUCCACUCUUCAACCCCCUGUGCACUUAUUGUAGGCUAGCCGUGAAGAGGUCGCAUUCAUUUGCUGGCUGGAAGCCUGUCUACGUUUUUACUACAAACGCUUCAGGUUAUAGAAUGUUUUAUCUGCGUAUACACGCAUUUAUAUA